rnacentral:rRNA from 1 species
GAUGAACGCUGGCGGCGUGCCUAAUACAUGCAAGUCGAGCGAACAGAUGAGGAGCUUGCUCCUCUGACGUUAGCGGCGGACGGGUGAGUAACACGUGGAUAACCUACCUAUAAUACUGGGAUAACUUCGGGAAACCGGAGCUAAUACCGGAUAAUAUAUUGAACCGCAUGGUUCAAUAGUGAAAGACGGUUUUGCUGUCACUUAUAGAUGGAUCCGCGCCGCAUUAGCUAGUUGGUAAGGUAACGGCUUACCAAGGCAACGAUGCGUAGCCGACCUGAGAGGGUGAUCGGCCACACUGGAACUGAGACACGGUCCAGACUCCUACGGGAGGCAGCAGUAGGGAAUCUUGCGCAAUGGGCGAAAGCCUGACGGAGCAACGCCGCGUGAGUGAUGAAGGUCUUCGGAUCGUAAAACUCUGUUAUUAGGGAAGAACAAAUGUGUAAGUAACUAUGCACGUCUUGACGGUACCUAAUCAGAAAGCCACGGCUAACUACGUG